rnacentral:tRNA from 1 species
CAAGAGGUAGUUUAAUUAGAAUUUCAGCUUUGGGUGCUGAUGGCAGGGUUUAAACCUUUCUCUUGA